UCUUAAUCAUUUUAGUUUUAUUUGACUUGAUUUUGAUCUACGUCUUCUUAACACAAAGCAAAGCCAUAAAACUAUGAAACCAUGAGAGUAUAACUGCAUAUCAAAUAUUGCAUACAAUAAAGUAAAGUAAAAAUAUGAACUUUUUUUCUUUACAACGAAAAAUGUGAACUUUUGGUCUUUCUUAAUCUACUUUGUAUUUCUGAUUCAGAAAAUGUAUUAAAUUACCAAAAAAACAUUGAAACACACAUAUCCAAG
rnacentral:lncRNA from 1 species